rnacentral:misc_RNA from 1 species
GGAAGUAAAAGUCUAACAAGGUUUCCGUAGGUGAACCUGCGGAAGGAUCAUUAACGAGUUAGGGUCUUCUAGGCCCGACCUCCCAACCCUUUGUUUACUGAACCAUUGUUGCCUCGGUGGGUCCGUCUUACGACCGCCGGGGGAUCGCCGCGAGGCGCCCCCUGGCCAGCGCCCACCGAUAGCCCAACCUUUAAAACCCUUUGUGAAUCGUGUCUUAUGUCUAAAUUUAUGAUUAAACAAUCAAAACAAAACUUUCAACAACGGAUCUCUUGGUUCUG